AGCAAGGAGCGUUGUGCUAAGAAGGCCCACGUUAUCCUGGCAGAACUAACGGAACCAUAUUACUCUCCUCAAAUUCUUUUCAACUGUUCCUCGACUUCUUCAGUUGUCUCCAAUCUCACACCCAUAUGCCAGAAUCAAGACUGCAAAUUAAGACAUAACCAUGGCUAUGUCUUUCCCCUAUUCACAAUUUCCUACCAUUUCAAUCCCUUCUAGGAAGUACAAAUCCGUGCACAUUCCUACACUGCAUCAUCAACCCUCAAAAUCAAAAAGCCCAGUACUCCACCUUUGCCCGCCCGUUCUUGAGCGACUUUACAAGAACCUUUAAAUGCCAGGCUCAAAAGCAGCAAGAAUAUCAAGUUGAAAGGCUAUUUUCCAACCUUAACCAAGCCACGCUCAAGAGAGAACCUGGUACUCAAUUUCCUCACUUUCAUUAAUUAUUUUUUUGGGUCACUUCAGAAAUUUUUAGAGGUGUUUCUUUGGUUGAUGGGAUGGGAGCCCAAAUGGCCACUUCGUAAAUGUCCAUACUAAAAUAGAUGGGGCACUCGAACAUGAGAUUUCACCUUCCUAAUGCCCUUAAACAGUAAGAGUAAGAACUAAGAACCAAUCAGAUUGGGCCUGAUUGGCCAAGAGGUGCUUUUAGUAUUCUGAUUAACCUUGACAUUGUACAAUAUAUAAUUAGUAUAAGGUAUGCUUGUGCAUUGGACCGAUGGAUUACUGAUCGAGUGGCUUCUGAUUAAUUUAUAUAUGCUUACAGCUUUAUUGCAAAAUCUUAUCAAGUUCUCUUGUUUUCUCUUUCACCAGGAAGUUUAUCUAGUGCAAUAUUUCUGGUCGCGGGUACAACGGUAUCCAUUCUGGUUACAUUACAAAGGCACAUUAAUCAUAUUAUUACUAUAAUUAGUGAAUGUGAUUAAUUGAAUCUCUUGAAUGUGAUUAAUUGAAUCUCUAGGUAGGUGCUGGGAUCCUGGCAAUUCCUGCGGUUACUCAAGAAGCUGGUUUUUUGGCCUCCGCAGUGGCCUGCAUUGUAUGUUGGAUAUUUAUGGUUGCUACUGGGCUGCUCAUUGCUGAAGUAAAUGUGAACACAAUGUGUGAAUUGGGUUCGGGUGGUGUAUCAUUGGUGUCAAUGGCCAGGAGAACUCUGGGAACGGCCGGAGUUCAAAUUGCAUGGUAGGCUGACAAGUCAUUUAUGCCUUUAUCUCUUCGACUAGUAGAUUUAGAAAAAAUUAACUAGAUAGAUGUUGGUUUUUGGCAUAAGUUGUCAGAAUUCUGGAAGAAGUCAUUUGUGUUGUUUUUCAUAGUUCACAUGUUCUGCAGUAAGCUAUCUUUGUGGAGUAACUGCUGGCAAUCAUCAGUCUCUUCUAUAGCACAACCAUUUGGUUGUUUAGGGUACUGGCUUCACAGUUCACACAACCUCACCAAAUAGCAAGCCCCUCAACCCUAUCCACAGACAACUCAUUGAUUCUUUUCAUCAAUUGGAAAGCUGUACACUGAAUAUUCAUGGAAUUAUUCCAAGUACACAUCAGUUUAUCUACAAUGAAACUGCUUGGUGAUUUAAACUAUUGUUUUGUGAUGACCAAUCUGCUGAAAGUUAGUGCCAUGCAGAAAGAUGAAUGCUGUAAUUUCUAAUUCCAAACUAUGAAAUUCUAAGGGUGAUAAGCACUUUUUAGAACUCUAUUUCUAAUGAUAUCCAAUAACUUGGUCAUUUGAAAUGGAAUUCAGCAUUCAUUUCAGAUCAGCUGCUGCUGUUGCCAUUAGUGUUAUUGUUGUUAUUAUGUAUGCAAAAAUGAUAGUUCCUAGAAGGCCCUUACUAUUGUAAUGGCUGGACAAUAAAGGUGUGUUUACCACAAGCUACACUUUGCUAUACAAUCCUUGUAUGAGGACAAUCAUCAUCUCUUGUACUGCACUAAUUAUAAAUGGAACAUACCACACUCUCCUAGAUGUCUCUAAAGUUCACUUGCAACACUCUCCUGUUGCAUGACAGUUUUCUGAGUCCUCACAAUGUCAAAGUUUGAUAUUUAUAUUGUGAUAAGAUAAAUCAUAUUUUGACUUAAGAAUGAUCAAAACAAUUAAACAUCUUAAGAUUGAUCAAUUUAGCAAGAAAGCUUCCAUUCUGCUUUGCAAUAAUAUAAUUUGCUUAUAAAUCUGCAGCUGCUAAUUCAUUACCAAUGUUUGUUUAGCAUUUUCAACAAAAUGGAUCAUACAUACUUUUGAUAUUCACUUUUAUGGUCAUAUAAAUCCUUUAAAUUCAUAUUUUUAUACUUGUUGCCAUCUAAAUUCUUUUAUGGGAAUACCUUUGCUGUUGAGUAAUUUUCUUGUGCAAUGUUUUCUUGAACUGUAACUAUCAUUCUAUUGUAUAAUGGUCUUGCAGUUGGACAUACAUUUUCAUCCAUUAUGCCCUUUUAGUUGCGUAUGUGGCUCGUUCUUCAGAAAUUUUGACAAACUUUCUCGGCAUUCCAUUGUACGAACCAUAAUUCUAAUAAUUCUACGUGUCUAAGCAAUCCAUAUUUACGCAUCUGAAUUUGCAGCCUUGCCAGUAGCCCUUAUGGAUCUUAUUUUGGGGGGAAUUUUGUACAUCUAUUAGGUGUUGACUCGCUGCAAUUUGCAGAUGGGAAAGUGCAGCAUUGUUCUCUUUGGUUUUUGGAGGCAUAUGCUACUUUGGGAGGUUAGUGUUACUUUCUCAUCUAUUAUGAGUUUGAAGGCUUAGAAGUAUUUGUAUUAGCUAUGUUCUAGUGGUGUAAGUGUAUCAACUAAUGCUUGAUAAAAUAAGUAGUGUUUCUGAUGCCAUGAUCUUUUGUUUUACGUAUUAUCUAAACUAAAGCUUUUGCAAACCAUUAAAUGAUAGUAAUAUGGUCAAUUCUUUAAAAUGCAUGUCUUCUGUUGAAACUUGGUAGGUUAUGUAUAGGAUAUAUGAGAUGAAUUUUGUUGUCUUUUCUUUUUAAAUUUUCUAGUUUCUGUACUACAAGUUGACACCUCUCUCUCUCUCAUUAAUUAAAUGAAGUAAAAUUAACUUUUCACUUUUCUUAAUUUGUAGUCAGCGCUUCAUUGGUGCUGUUAAUGGGGUUCUAGUAUUUGGAAUCAUUAUUUCUUUCGCAGCUCUUGUGGUAAUUCUCUCCCUUGAUGAAUAUGUUAGUUUUUGUGUUUCAAUUAUCCAGGCAUUUUUGCAAAUUUUACUUUAAUAUAUCAAACACUCUUUUUAUUCCAUGGCUAAGCUAUCUACCAAGGAGGACAGUCUCGUCUCAUUCCAUAAACCCCUCACUUCCACCUGAAUGGUUUGGAAUUGAGACUUCCAAAUUGGAGACCCCAAUCUCUAUUCACUUACUUGUCCCCUUGGGGACACUUGAAUAAAAAAAUUAAUGGAUAUGCAACUAGGAUCAUAAUUACUCAAUGAUGUUAGUUUCCUAGAAACAAAAUCAUUAAGAUGUACCAUAAAGCAAAUACAAUUGAAUUGAGUGAAGUCCACAUGUGCAAGAAGGGGAAAAAAGGAUAGAGACAGUACAGUCCUUGUACAAAUUCCUGGAAACUCAUAAAUAUUUUUUUCAUUUGUUUUUAUCAGGUUGCCAUAGUAGCUUUGAAUAAGACAUGUCUUAAAUCAGUGAGUUAGAUAGUUUACAGUUGCUGGGUUUGUGGGAAAACUGCUCUAUUGCAAGAAAAGGAUACAUCACAUUCAAAUUGGAUUUUCAUUUAUAGAUUUUAUACCCAUUUCAGAUGUAGUGCAACGUGUUUCCUCUAUGGAACUCCUAAUAUAAAAGUUAAUUCAAACUGCACCAAAAUUGUUGGAUUUUAGAACCUUGCAUUUUUAAGGCUUCCAAGUCUUUACAGGCUUAACUUCCCCUUAGUAGUUGUCAAAGACAUUAUCUCAUGAUAGAGCUGUGGACAUCAUGAAAGAGUUUCUGAUCCUGAGUGCAGUCUCUAAUGUGAACACAUAAUGCAGAGAAUAAGUGUUUUGUUCGUUAGUCAAAACUUGUGUGCCCAUGCUAAGCCUAAUCUACCAAGAAAGGUUGGCAUGUGAGCAAGAGUGUUGGACAAAGUGUAAUUCUUCUACACCUUACUUCUGUGGAAAUUCGAAAAGAAGAAAACUACAUUCUGAUACUUGCAUGAAUUGAUAUAUAUAUAUAAUGUUUUGGUGGCAAGU
rnacentral:misc_RNA from 1 species